UUUAAGAAAUAAUUAAAUAGAUCAUUUAUCAUUAAUCACAUAAUUAUUAGUACACGAAGCUUCUCUUUACUUCUUCUCUCUCUGCUCUGUACACUCCUUAAAAUUCAAAUCUCGUAUAUCUUUCACAACCGGUCAUAGCCAUCACUUUUGCAAAACCUUCUAUCGUUUCUAGACUAUGCGCUCUCCGUAACGUCCGCGUCAGUGGUGGUAUUGCGAACGUAAGAUGAUCCAUCUCAUCAUAAACUUCUCAUUCCACACAUUUGUAGCAUUACGUGGAUGUUUCUAUAAAAUCUCUAGAUAAUGUGGUUUUGAUAGUAUUACUUAGUGUAGGUGUGAAAUAUUAAACAUAAACACAAUUUUUCUCUCCCUUCGCGGCUUCACCAAAGCUUUUCCUCCCAUAGUCCCAUUUCAAACUUUCUCAUCCUUCGACGUCGUCUCUCGUAACUUUUUUUUUUUUCUCGUAACCAAUUCAGUCGUAAGUUACUUUCAUCACUUCGUCUUUAAAAAAAAAAAAAAAUGGAUACCAUUUGUAUUUAACUAUUUAUACCUUGUCAAAAGAGGACAUCCAUAUAACCAAAUUUCAGAAGAUAGAAAGCAAGUGAAAUUGAUACAGACAAAGUGAAAUCUCAAAGCAGAUUGAGUGAGAAGAUCGAUUGUGGCUGGAAGUGAGUGAACCAAGAUAGCAAGUAGGAGUCAGGGUUCGGAAUUGAAGACGUCUGGUUCGGCAAAGCUCGACCCCGCUAAUUUAGCCCGUAAGGUAAACUUGGAUUUCCUUGUAAGAAAAGUUUGUAAAAGAUCAAGAGAAGAAUUCUCUUAUUUCUCUCAAAGGAUUACAAACCUGCGUUACAACCAUACUAGGAUAAGACUUUGCUCAGGGGAGUUAUAUAUUAAAAUAUAAAACAUAUAAUAUUGAAAAAGUUAAGAUUUAUAUAUGAUCAAUUUUUUUUGUAUAUAUGUAUACAGUUUUGAAUUGUUUAUAUAAUCAUCAAUACAUUGGGCCAAAAAUAAUUUUAAUUGUGGAUCAAAACUUAAAAUUUAUGAUGGUCCGAUACAUUUGGAUAUUUUCUUUUGCUAAUUUAUCGGUGAAUAAAAUUUAUAUAGUUUUUGAUUUUGAAUUUACACUAAUUUUCAGAAUAUCAGAUUUUUACAUUUUUGACAACAUAAGAUGAAAAUUAAAAUAUUAAAAUAACAACUACAAAUUGGGUUGGGCUUAUAUUUUGAAGUAUGAUUGGUUAUGUACCACAUUAACACAACAUAAAAUUUAGCAGCACGAUUAUUAUUAUACUUAAGGCCCAAAUAAGAUGAAAUUAGUUUUUUGUUUGCAACUGAUACGUUACUUCAAAUAUUUGAUGAUGAUAUUUUUUGUUUGCAACCGAUACUUUAUAUAUGAUGAAAGUUAGGUUAACAUGAUAUAUAGCAUUACACUACAAGAAAAUAGCGGCAUACUGAGGGAAAAAAUCGUCGGUAUGUCGUCGGAAUAACGCUAUUCCGACGAAAAAAGUCCUCGGAAAUAACUCCUCGGAAAUUCAUCUUUCCUCGGAAAUUUCCGACGGAAUUCCGAGGAAAUGAAUUUCCUCGGAAUAUUCCGAGGACUUUUUUCUUCGGAAAUUCCUCGGAAUAUUCCGAGGAAUAUGUCGUCGGAAUAUUCCGAGGGAUACACUUCCUCGGAAUAUUUCCAAAAUUCAAAAAAAAAAAUUAUAAAUUUAUUUUUUUAAAUUGAAAUUCAAAAAUAUAAAAUUAAAAUUGAAAUAGAAAACAUAUUUAAAAUACAAAAAAUAAUAAAAUAGUUUUUAUAAAUAAAAAAAUGUUUUAUAAAUACAAAAUUAGUUUUAAUAAAUAUAAAUAUUUUUAUAAAUAUGAAAUCAUCUUUUUAUAAAUACAAAAUAGUUUUUAUAAAUACAAAAAAUAAUAAAAUAGUGUUUAUAAAUAAAAAAAUGUUUUAUAAAUGUUUGAUCGUGAAACGGUAAUAAAUAAGAUGUGGGCUUAAACAAAGACGUCUUAUUGAUGGUCGGAGAGAAAACGUUCGAUCGGUUACAAGGAAAUAAGAGGAGAGUGCGACAGAAAGGAAACCGGUGGCUCGACAAGCUACCGGAGAAGUAUAAUUAACGGCGAGACGAAGUAAAGGUGAAAAACCCUAAUCUAGCCGUCAAGUCUUGGUCAGUAUUUUUGGAUCCCCUUCUCGUUGCCUCUUCUUUCCCUUAUAUAGACGUCCCGAUGCUUCGCUCUUGACCUAAUUUUACGCCAUCUUGGUGGGCCUCCUUUGCUGGGCCGAGAGGCCCGUAGGUGUUCGAGCAACCGCUGAGCCGAACGCUCUUCAGUCGACGAUGGUCAGCUAGAAGUACUCAAGAGUCAAGCCGAGAGACCUGACUCUCGAGCCGACAGAUCGAGCCGUCGCUCUUCCUAACUCGGGCCAGGCCUUCCUAUUCCUCGGGCCCUGUGGGAUGGUCGAAUCCAUCCUCUACAACACUGAUUACUCUUCUCCACACAUUCUUUGUUACAAUUUUUUUUUUUUUUUUUAAAUCUUUGUUCAAAUUUACAAUGAAUUAGUUACAAAUCUUGUGGAGUAUUUUCUUGAAUAGUAUUGUCUGGUCUUUUUUUUUUAACACAAAAUGAGUAAAUGGCCUAUACAGGUCAUUAUAACGUAUAGUAUUAGAGCAUGUUUAAUGAGGGUUUCUCAAGGUGGGGUUCUUAGCGGAAUAUAAGAACUCAUCUCUUAAUUUUUAACUAAAAAAACUAAGAAGCGGUUCUUAAAUAAGAUAUUUAAAAACCGGUUCUUAGCUUUUUUAGUUAAAAAUUAAGAGACAGAUUCUUAUAUUCCGCUAAGAACCCCACUUCAAAGUGGAAUGAGAGCACUUCUAUGGAAGACCAAGACUACUCUCAGCGUCCUUUGGAGCAAAAGCAUCAGAGACCCGAGCUCUAUUCCAAACACCAGACCGCUGCUCUAUCAAAUCCUCCACUUUCAGAGUGAGAUCAAAAAUGUGAAUGAUCGAUGAGAUUAUCCCAUCGAUCGAUCAAGGAUAUCAAGUGAUCGAUCAAGGAUAUCAAGUGUUCCUCGGAAUUUCCUCGGAAUAUUCCGAGGAAAUUCUGAGGAAGAUUAUAAACGUAUAGUAUAUGGGAUAAACGUGUAAGGAGUUUUCAGGCUUGAUCCAAUAUUAUUUGUUACAAUUAUACAUUUAAUAAAAGAUAAUUCUAAUUAAAUGACAGUGACAAAUCUCAUAAUAUCGAAAGGAAAGUAAAGGCAAAUCUAAACAAAUAAUGUUUUAAUAGUAUAGAUUAAAUUGGUAGUUGGCCAUGAAUAAAAAUAUGGUAAGAUAUAUAUAUAUAUAUAUAUAUUUGUUUGGUAAUAAAGUUUUCUGUAUAUAUUUUUAUUAACAAAACAGAAUAAUUACUCUUACCUAAAUUUCCAUUUCGCUAUAUUUGUGUAUCACAUUAACAUUGUUAUUAUGUUUUCCAUGAUUAUGUCUGAGUAGUUUUCCAUGAUCAUAUAUGAGUAGUUUCCUUUGUUAAUAAUAGUUUUAUACAAUAAAAAUAAGAAAAAUUAGUAAUUGAUAAUAUUAUUAAAUAACUAAAUAUUUGCGCACAUAUUUGUCAACGAAAAAGUAAACAUUAUAUUUAUUUAAUUUGAUAAAAAGAUGAAAAUAACUUUUUAACAUAAAACAAAAUAUUAAAAAUACUAAAAUUACUAAAAUCAAUAUUUAAAAAAGUAUGAAGACCAUAGAAAUAUAAUCAAUUUUGUAUAUAUUAUUACUUAUAUUAUAUAAUUUACACAUAAUUAUACUAUUAUAUUUUACUUGGUUUAUUGGGUUUGAUUGAUUUAUAUACUAAAUCAUAUUCAUAUACCGUGGUUUUUUAAAAUAACAUUCAUUUGGUAUAUUAAAUUACCAAAUCUAAACCAUCUUCUUUAUUUGGUUCUGUUCGGUUUUACAUGAUUGAACACCCCUAAAUCAAACGUAUGAUACAUAUAGUAUGUAACAAAAAAUCAUCACAUUUAUGACAAAGAUUGUGAAAUUAGUGGUUGAGCUGUAUUGGUUUAAUGUAAGAGAAUAAUGAGAAAAAUACUGUAUAUGAUAGUUGUAUGAAUGAAAUUAGUAAACUUUUACUCACAUAACACAGAUCUAGAUCGGUGAUACAUAUAAGUACAUCAUUAUUAUCAUAUUUGCCUUGUCAGUCACAAUUUCUUAGAUUGCACACCGAAAUAUUAACUUAUUUGAUUUGACACUGGCUAAUAAAUACAAAAAAAACUUGCAUAUCAAUUGUAUGCAUCUCACUAAAUUGAAAGCCAUAUUCAUUUUGCACGUACAUUUUUCAUAUCAAAUUAUUCAGGUCUUAUUCAUUUUCAACGAAAUAUCAUAGUAUCAAAAUAAUACAAUCACAAAACAUUAUGGCCUUGGUAUUUGAACAGUUCCUUAAAAAAUAACGAUUACUAAUAUGUGACAGAUGUGUUUAAACUACUACUUAGGAAGUUUAACUUCACAUAAACAUCAUGCAUUAUUUAUUAAAAUAGUAGGUUAUAAAUUGUCAACCUACCGAGUUUGGUUGAUUAUAACACUAUCUAAUCUAUUAAAAUAGAUUACUAUUUUUUUUGUCUACCAUUAGAAGUUAUCAUUAACUGUUGGACUCUUACUAGAAUAUUACAAUAAUACAUACACGCUACUUAUAUAAAAUUCACCUAACUACUUAAAUUAAACCAACGUCCUUACAUACAACUAAACCGGCGUCAUAUUAAACGUACCUUUGGUUAUCUACUAAUAGAAAAACAAUACAAAAUUAAAUUAUUCUUAUAAUAAUCAAGACAUGGCUCUGCUUAUAGUCUACCUUCAAAUAAUAAUGGAAAAAUAAUAAUAUGUUUAUUUGAUGAGCAAUCCAUAAUUAUUCAUAAAUAUAUUUUGUAUCUCUCUUCUCUGUUAUUCCAAUAAUUCAAUCAAAACGCCUUUAAAAAUACUACAUAAAUAAUAUCAUGUUUGAUUGAUGGGUCUAAUCCAUAAACGAAAAUAUUAUUUAUUGGAUAAAGUAAUGUAUUUUAAAAGACUAUUAAUUGAUAUUAGAUGGACCAAAUGUGUAAUAUUUUUCCACCAAAAAUAUAACCUGUAUAAAUCCCUAACAAAUUGUGAUAUAUUUAAUAAUAUCUACAUAACCUUUUUUAAAAAGUUAUUAAUCCUAAUGUUUAAUAUGAAAUUUCUAAAGCACAAUUAAGCUACUACGAAAGAACAUUAUUAACGUAUUCUUAAACUACGAAAAACAAGUAGGCAAUUCAUUCCUUUGUGCCAAAGUUUUUUCUUAAUAUUCAACAUAAGUUUCCUAAUUCAAGUUCUAAAAAAUUGUUAGUAAGGAAAAAUAUUUGAUAUAUUUAACAUAAAACAAAAUAUUAAAAAUACUAAAAUUACUAAAAUCAAUAUUUAAAAAAGUAUGAAGACCAUAGAAAUAUAAUCAAUUUUGUAUAUAUUAUUACUUAUAUUAUAUAAUUUACACAUAAUUAUACUAUUAUAUUUUACUUGGUUUAUUGGGUUUGAUUGAUUUAUAUACUAAAUCAUAUUCAUAUACCGUGGUUUUUUAAAAUAACAUUCAUUUGGUAUAUUAAAUUACCAAAUCUAAACCAUCUUCUUUAUUUGGUUCUGUUCGGUUUUACAUGAUUGAACACCCCUAAAUCAAACGUAUGAUACAUAUAGUAUGUAACAAAAAAUCAUCACAUUUAUGACAAAGAUUGUGAAAUUAGUGGUUGAGCUGUAUUGGUUUAAUGUAAGAGAAUAAUGAGAAAAAUACUGUAUAUGAUAGUUGUAUGAAUGAAAUUAGUAAACUUUUACUCACAUAACACAGAUCUAGAUCGGUGAUACAUAUAAGUACAUCAUUAUUAUCAUAUUUGCCUUGUCAGUCACAAUUUCUUAGAUUGCACACCGAAAUAUUAACUUAUUUGAUUUGACACUGGCUAAUAAAUACAAAAAAAACUUGCAUAUCAAUUGUAUGCAUCUCACUAAAUUGAAAGCCAUAUUCAUUUUGCACGUACAUUUUUCAUAUCAAAUUAUUCAGGUCUUAUUCAUUUUCAACGAAAUAUCAUAGUAUCAAAAUAAUACAAUCACAAAACAUUAUGGCCUUGGUAUUUGAACAGUUCCUUAAAAAAUAACGAUUACUAAUAUGUGACAGAUGUGUUUAAACUACUACUUAGGAAGUUUAACUUCACAUAAACAUCAUGCAUUAUUUAUUAAAAUAGUAGGUUAUAAAUUGUCAACCUACCGAGUUUGGUUGAUUAUAACACUAUCUAAUCUAUUAAAAUAGAUUACUAUUUUUUUUGUCUACCAUUAGAAGUUAUCAUUAACUGUUGGACUCUUACUAGAAUAUUACAAUAAUACAUACACGCUACUUAUAUAAAAUUCACCUAACUACUUAAAUUAAACCAACGUCCUUACAUACAACUAAACCGGCGUCAUAUUAAACGUACCUUUGGUUAUCUACUAAUAGAAAAACAAUACAAAAUUAAAUUAUUCUUAUAAUAAUCAAGACAUGGCUCUGCUUAUAGUCUACCUUCAAAUAAUAAUGGAAAAAUAAUAAUAUGUUUAUUUGAUGAGCAAUCCAUAAUUAUUCAUAAAUAUAUUUUGUAUCUCUCUUCUCUGUUAUUCCAAUAAUUCAAUCAAAACGCCUUUAAAAAUACUACAUAAAUAAUAUCAUGUUUGAUUGAUGGGUCUAAUCCAUAAACGAAAAUAUUAUUUAUUGGAUAAAGUAAUGUAUUUUAAAAGACUAUUAAUUGAUAUUAGAUGGACCAAAUGUGUAAUAUUUUUCCACCAAAAAUAUAACCUGUAUAAAUCCCUAACAAAUUGUGAUAUAUUUAAUAAUAUCUACAUAACCUUUUUUAAAAAGUUAUUAAUCCUAAUGUUUAAUAUGAAAUUUCUAAAGCACAAUUAAGCAUGUAUAUUUUUCAAUAAUACACUUUGAUAACUACAAUGUUCAAAAAAUGUAAUGAAACUCGAAACUAAUAAUUAGAUUAAACAAAUUUAUUUUGGUUAAAAUUAUAUUAGAAAUUAUGUUUAGUUGAACUAAAUUAUUUUUUAUAAUCUAAUUUAAAAUAAUAUAAAGAUUUAACAAAAUCACCUCCUUAGUUACAAAAAUAAUAUCAUAAUCAAUCCCUAAAUCAAACCACUAAUUUACUACAUAUUAGAGUUGGGCAAAAACCUCAAAUCCGAAGAACUGAACUGAAUCCUACGAACUGAACUUGAACAAAAAUUAGUUAAAUAUUCGAAUGAGUUUAAAAUUUUGGUAUUGAGAGAACCGAAACUGACCCAAACCAAAGUAUUUUGAAUAUUCGAAUGUAUCCAAAUAUAUUUACAUACUUAAAUAUAUUAAUUUUUAGGCUUAAUAUAUAAAAUAUCUAAAAUACUAGAUAUUUUGGAAUUGUCCAAAAUAUUUAAAAAUAUAUACAGAUAAUAAAAGUAAAUGUCUAAAAUAGUCAAACAAUACUCAAAACACUAAACAUACUUGAAAUAUCUAUUAAUUUUCUAUCCAAAUAUAAUAGCCAAACUAAUUUAUAUGUUAAAUUUAGGUAUUUCAACAUACAUUAUUCAAAUUUAUAUGUAACAUAUUAUUUAUUUUUAGAUUUUUAAAAAUUAAAGCAUAUAUGACUUUUAAAUGUUUUAAAAUAAUUUUAACAGGUUAUCCAAACCCGAACCAAAUCCACAAAGAUCCAAACGAAUCCUACCCAAAAUUUAUAAAUACCCAAAUAGAGCUUUUUUCUGUCAUCAAUAGAACUAAAAUUUUAACCUCGAAACUCUAAACUUAAGUAGACCCGAACCAAACCUGAAUGAGUAGCUGAAUGCCCACCCCUAUUACAUAUGAAGCAUUAUACAUUACAAACUAGCAUCAAGUACAACAUAUGUUAUUAUACAAAUCAAUUAUAUACUUAUAAAGAAAAUAUAUAAUUUAGAUGUCAAAAAUAUUUAUUAUAUCCACUUAUUAUAUAACACAAAAAACUGAAAAAUUCGAAACCGUAUAACAUAAUAUGGAUAAUUUUAGUAAGAUUUUAUAAAAUAAUAUCCGCGUACAGCGCGGAUCCGUAUCUAGUUGGAUUUAAAAGAAAAUAUUAAAUUAUUCAAUUCAAACCGAGAAUUGGUUAGUGGUUACAUGGUUCCGAAUAAGAUAAAAAAAAAAACAAAACCGAACAAAAACAAAAAAAAGAGGAAAGCCCUAGUUAACUCGACAGUUUAGAUUGUCCACAUACUGCUGCCAUCGAGCUCGCUAAGAUCUCCCUCAGCCUUGCUGGUUUUUUGCUUCUCCUGCCUCGGUCCUGAAAUGGUUAUUCCGACGGCAACAAACGGUGACUUGAAGUGUGUCGUUGUUGAGUGGACGGUGUUGGAGUUCUAGAGCCAUUAAAGUUAGGAUUCGAACCAUACAAAUACUGAACUCCUUCCACGUCAUCUCUAUGCAAAUCAACUUUACCGAAGAUUCACUUCAUAGUUCUUUUUAACGUUUUUUUUUAACAGAGUUCUGUUUAUAAAAGUAUUUAUCAUAUAACAAAGUCUUCUUUGUAUGUUUGGGUUAAUAUAAAGUCCCUAGCAAAUUGAAAUUGGACUAUCUAACUUUUCAAUCGAUUCUAAGCAUGCCACAUCAACUAAAUUGGGUUCUAAACUUCUAAUUAAGUGACACGUCAGCAAAUUUAAUUUGUAAAUAUUACAAACUAUAAGGUUACUAUUUUUUAAAUGAUUCCCAAUUAAUAUAUAUGGGAUAUAUAUGAAAUCUCUAAUUAUGCACAAUCAUAGAAUAUGGAAAUAAUUCAAUUAACAUUAAAGUAGUAUUGCAUAUUUCUUAAUAUCCUUCCUCAAGGUGGAUCAUGAAGAUCACAAAUGCCCAACUUAACAAUAGAGCUUGGAAAGAACGACCACCAAGUGCCCUGGUAAAGAUAUCAGCCAAUUGUACCAUUGUAGAUAUAUACUUCGUUCGAACGAUCCCGGCUUGUAUGUCAUCUCUAAUAAAGUGACAGUCUAACUCUACAUGUUUCGUACGCUCAUGCAACACUGGAUUAACUACAAUAUAAAGCGCCGAUUGGCUGUCAAUAAAAUCCAUUUCUCCAAAAUGGUCAAAACCCAUCGUAAACAUCACUCUUAAUCCAUUUUAACUCUUUUAGAACAGCUACCAUAGAUCGAUAUUCAGCCUCAGCUGAGGAACACGACACCACAUUCUGUUUCUUCGACCUCCAUGAGACCGGAGAGUUUCCCAAUUGUACCAACCAUCCGUUCAAAUAUUUCUUAGUAAUUGGACAUCCAGCCUAAUCUGAAUCACACCAAACUGUAAAAUGGAAAUUACACUCAGCUUUCAAGAUAAUUCCCAUUCCGGAACACCCUUGCAAGUAACAAACAACCCUCAAUGCGGCUGUCCAUAUUCUUCUCUAGGCUUCUGCAUGAACUGAGACAAGAUAUGAACUGAGACAAGAUAUGAACUGAGUAGGCAAGAUCCGGUCUUGUGGGAGCUAAGUAAAUCAGUCUCCCAACUAGUCAUCUAUACCUCUCUGGAUCAGCGAGUAAUGGCAAAGUCAAUCUCCCCAACUGAUCGUUUGGCUCCAUGGGAAAAUCUAUCGGCUUCCCACCUAGUAAACCAGUAUCAACAAUAAUAACCAGAGCACACUUACUCUAUGAUAAGUAGAUACCCUCAGGAUUUUGUGCAACUUCCAAUCCAAGGAAGUACUUCAGUUUGCCCAAAUCUUUCAUAUGAAAACAACUGCUCAAAUGUGUCUUAAACUCUUGAAUAACCUCACUUGAACUUCCUGUCACCACAAGGUCAUCAACAUACACAAGAACGUGUAAGUGCACCUUACCACGAACCAAUGAGAAUAAUGAGUAAUCGGCCCUACUCUGUUUGAAUCCAUAACCCAAAAGUGCAUUCGAAAGCUUUGUAAACCAACACCUCAGAAACUGUUUUUUAGUCCAUACAAUGACUUUUGCAAUCUGCAUACCACUCCUUUCUCAAAGGAAUCAAAUCCUUGUGGUAACCUCAUAUACACCUUCUCCUGCAAGUCUCCACGAAGAAAUGCAUUAUGCACAUCCAUCUGAUGUAAUUUCCAAUUUUUCCCAGCUGCAAUCUGAAGUAGCAACCUAACCAUAGUCAUAUUUGCCACUAGCGCAAAUGUUUCUGAAUAGUCAACCCUUUCCUUUUGUCAAUUACCACAUUCAACCAAAAUUGCAUUAUACCUUUCGACAGCCCCAUCUACAUUAUACUUAAUCUUAAAUACCCAUUUGCAUCUGAUAACCCGCUUACCUGGUCGUAACUCUCCAACCAGCGAAGUCUUAUUUCGUUCUUGAGCCUCAAUCUCCAAUUGCAUUGCUUCCUUCCAUCGUGGACACUUCAUAGCUUCAGCAAAUGUUUUAGGUAUCACUCCUAAUGUUAUGCUCACCAAAAAUGCCCUAUGUGACUCAGAAAAUCGAUCACAGUUCACAAAAUUUUCAGUCCCAUAUUCAAGUCCAGUUUCUUGGCUCGUAAUCGAUGACUUGAUUGUGGUUUUGCAUACAUAAUCACGAAGCUUUACUGAUGCUUCUUUUCUUCUAUUCCUCUACCCAAAACUUCUUCCGCGUUACUGUUGGACCAUCUACAACUGCCACAGGUUGUCUCAGUUCUUCCCCCUUGAUCUCUGGUUCCUCCUCCGUCGGUGUCACACAUGUUUCAGGUUGUGUUACACCCUGCAAUUCACUAUCUUCCGUCUGAGACACAUCAUGUGUUACACUUCCUUCAUUCUGUGUUACAUCUUCUGCGAUAACACCAUUAUCAACAACCUCCGUUAUCUCAACAGCAUCCAUAUCAUCAACCAACGGCCUAGAAACCUCAGAGAUAUCUACUCUUCGUUCUCAUGUUGUUGUAGAUACCUUUUCAGAAAACAGGAACUCAUCUUCAAUGAAUGUAACAUCUCUAGAGAUAAAAAAAUUCCCUAGUUUCAAGAUCAAACAUCGACCAGCACUUCUUUACAUAGGGAUAGCCCACAAACACACACUUCCGGCUUCUGGUAGCAAACUUAUAUCCAUGUCUCUUCUGAUUAUGGAUGUAAGCAAGGCAACCAAAUACACGGAUUUCACCAUAUUAAAGAGCUUUAUCAAAGAUGAUUUCAUAAGGACUAUUUCCCUUAAGUACCUCAGAUGGAGUUCUAUUAAUAAGAUACGCAGAACUGAGAACACAUUCACCCCAAAACUAAACCGGUAACUGCGAUUGAAACCUCAGCGCCCUAGCCACGUUCAGGAUAUGUCUAUGCUUCCUUUCCACUCUCACAUUCUGUUGAGGAGUGCCUACACACGAAGUUUGGUGGGAUUUUGCAUGUGCUCCGAAAAUACUCUUUCAUUCGCAUGAACUCAGUACCAUUGUCGCUCCUCACUAUCUUCACCCUCUAGUUGAAUUGUCUCUGAACAAGAGCAAAGAAAUCCAAAAUAGUUUUCUCAACCUGUGAUUUAUCUUGAAGUAAGUAUACCCACACAUCUUUACAAUAAUCAUCCGCAACCGUGAGAAAAUAGUGGGCUCCUGAAAAACUUUUUGUCUUAUAUGGCCCCCAUAGAUCACAAUGUAUCAUCUCAAAGCACUCCUUGCUUUUAUCUUCACUUAAAGGAAACUCACUACGACAUUGCUUUGCUCGAAAACAUAUGUCACAACCAGAUAUACUCAUACUGGUACGAUCAACCACCGGUAGCCUCCUAAUCACUUUCUCAGAAGGAUGACCCAUCUCUUAUGCCAAACUCCUAUUGACUUCAGCUUGUCAACUUUCUUCACAUUCAUGCUUUUCUGAAUACCUUAAAGAAAAUAUAACCUUUUUUUCACCUGUUCCAAUCGCUUUCUGCAAGCGACAAUCAUACAUCAGUCACCUCGUUUUAUCAAACAAUGCCAUGCAACCCAUCUCAUUGAUCAUCUGUGAUACCGAUAUCAAGUUACACUUCAGCUCUUCAACCAAAAAAACCCGCUUCAAAGUCAAAAUCUCUGUUAGCACGAGACUACCUUCCUUAUUGGCCAACACAUUCUUCCCAUUCGGCAAACCCACCAUACACGGCGAAAUUGGAUGUAUAUCCGUCAAGGUGUGUAACACACCGGUCAUGUGGUGUGACGCACCACUAUCAAUUAUCGACUCAUAUGCACGAUUCAUAAAAGAUCUGGAGAAGAAUUCUGGAAAAGGAUUCCCUUAUUUCUCUUAACAGAUUACAAACGUGCUUUACAACCAUAUAUAUGAAAUCCCUAAUUAUGCACAAUCCUAGAAUAUGAAUUAACUUUAAAGUCAAUAUUGCAUAUUUCCUAAUAGUUUGCAUAUCGGUUUAAUCUUCUUAUCAGUUGAAGAGGUGUGUUUUGUUUUGUCUUUUGUCUUUUGUUUUUAUGUUUUUGUUUGAUUGAUCUAUUUGUCAUGUCAGAUGGCGCCGUCUUUUGGUGGACCGGACGUGCCCGAACCCUUCCCUACCAAAUACUGCAUUAUAGGGAUAGUUGUAGCACUUGUUAUCAUUGGUGUUGGAGUUCUUCUCUACAACUGCUUCUUUAAGCGGGAUCGAAUCGGUCAAGCUCCCAUGGAAGUUGAAAUGGCAUGAAGAUGAAUUUUAUUUUAUUUUUUAUUAUAUA
rnacentral:lncRNA from 1 species